AUUGAACGCUGGCGGCAUGCCUUACACAUGCGAGUCGAACGGCAUCGCGGGAAAGCUUGCUUUCCUGGCGGCGAGUGGCGAACGGGUGAGUAACACAUCGGAACGUACCGGCUAGGGGGGGAUAACCCGUCGAAAGACGGGCUAAUACCGCAUACGCCCUUCGGAGGAAAGCAGGGGACCUUUGGGCCUUGGGCUAGCCGAGCGGCCGGGGUCCGAUUAGCUAGUUGGGGGGGUAAAGGCCUACCAAGGCGACGAUCGGUAGGGGGUCUGAGAGGACGGUCCGCCACCCUGGGACGGAGACACGGCCCAGACUCCUACGGGAGGCAGCAGUGGGGAAUCUUGGACAAUGGGGGCAACCCUGAUCCAGCAAUGCCGCGUGGGUGAAGAAGGCCUUCGGGUUGUAAAGCCCUUUCGGCAGGGAAGAAAUCGGCGGGGCGAAUAACCCUGCUGGAUGACGGUACCUGCAGAAGAAGCACCGGCUAACUACGUG
rnacentral:rRNA from 1 species